rnacentral:rRNA from 1 species
UACGAAGGGGGCUAGCGUUGUUCGGAAUUACUGGGCGUAAAGGGUUCGUAGGUGGCCUACUAAGUCAGACGUGAAAUCCCUCAGCUUAACUGGGGAACUGCGUCUGAUACUGGGGGGCUUGAGUGCAGGAGAGGAACGCGGAAUUCCAGGUGUAGCGGUGAAAUGCGUAGAUAUCUGGAGGAACACCGGUGGCGAAGGCGGCGUUCUGGACUGCAACUGACACUGAUGAACGAAAGCCAGGGGAGCAAACGGG